ensembl:rRNA 5S_rRNA 5S ribosomal RNA
GUCUAUGGCCAUAUCUCCGGGAACCUGCCUGAUCUCAUCUGUUCUCAGAAGCUAAGCAGGGUAGGGUCUGCUUUGUAUUUCGAUUGUAGACUACCUGGGAAUACUGGGUCCUUAAGGCU